rnacentral:rRNA from 1 species
CCUACGGGUGACAGCAGUGAGGAAUAUUGGUCAAUGGGCGAGAGCCUGAACCAGCCAAGUCGCGUGAGGGAGUACUGCCCUAUGGGUUGUAAACCUCUUUUGUCGGGGAGCAAAAGCCGGACGUGUCCGGCUGUGAGAGUACCCGAAGAAAAAGCAUCGGCUAACUCCGUGCCAGCAGCCGCGGUUAUACGGAGGAUGCGAGCGUUAUCCGGAUUUAUUGGGUUUAAAGGGUGCGCAGGCGGAUUUUUAAGUCAGCGGUAAAAUCGUGGGGCUCAACCCCAUCCAGCCGUUGAAACUGGGGAUCUAGAGUGUGCGAGAGGUAUGCGGAAUGCGUGGUGUAGCGGUGAAAUGCAUAGAUAUCACGCAGAACCCCGAUUGCGAAGGCAGCAUACCGGUGCACAACUGACGCUCAGGCACGAAAGCGUGGGUAUCGAACAGGAUUAGAUACCCGGGUAGUC